UGGGGAAUAUUGGACAAUGGGCGAAAGCCUGAUCCAGCCAUGCCGCGUGUGUGAAGAAGGUCUUCGGAUUGUAAAGCACUUUAAGUUGGGAGGAAGGGCAGUAAGCGAAUACCUUGCUGUUUUGACGUUACCGACAGAAUAAGCACCGGCUAACUCUGUGCCAGCAGCCGCGGUAAUACAGAGGGUGCAAGCGUUAAUCGGAAUUACUGGGCGUAAAGCGCGCGUAGGUGGUUCGUUAAGUUGAAUGUGAAAGCCCCGGGCUCAACCUGGGAACUGCAUCGAAAAAAGGCGAGCGAGAGUAGGGCAGAGGGUGGUGGAAUAUCCUGUGUAGCGGAGAAAUGAGUAGAUAUAGGAAGGAACACAAGUGGCGAAGGAGACCACCUGGGAUCAUACUGACACUGAGGUGCGAAAGCGUGGGGAGCAAACAGG
rnacentral:rRNA from 1 species